AGGCGUCCCAUAUACACCACUAGUGUGCCUAGAUUUUAGUUGUCACUUGACCCUGAUACUGAAGGAAAAUCCAUUGCGAUGAUAAAACGGGACUCAGUAAGGUUGGUGUAGUGACUGUGUGUGGUUGAGGAGACCAACUUGCUAUUCUCAUUUCUAGAGACCGCCUCAGUUCGUCUCUAGCCGGGCGUGUUUUAACUGCCUUGUACAUCGCGCGUGUGCGGCUGGAUUGCCUAAACGCAUCGUAGUCGUCACUCCCUAUACACACAGCGACUGAAUCUCUUGACCGACAGAUAGCGACUCCGGCAUUGACUAGCGGGUAUAUCCCUCACGAUACACCGGCGGUACCGUCGAAAUCAUCACUAUUUUAACCAGUUUGGCCAAGUGUAGGCGGGUUGCUGUGGAGUACCAGCGCUCUUCGCACUGGCCGUAUCGACGCGUCGUCUUGCUUGACUAACAACUCCCCAUCGGACGCGUCAAUUUCACCAAGUCUGGUUACACCGUCGCCGGUUCAGUUUCUCUUCAAAAUAUCAGCUUUCUUCUCCUUAGACGAGAGUUGUGUCUCCUUUUACCGAGUUUUCGUCUUCUUCGCAUCUUUAAGGAGCCACAUCUCAUGACCGACAUGUCGUUUCUAGCUUUGGAUUCCAACAGUUGGCAGGUAGGUUCAAUUCAUAUUUAUUUAUUU